CACACCCAGGAAUAAUACUUUGCAUCCUUCGGUCCAAUCAAGUUGACACUCAGUAUUAACCAUCACAGUGAAUUUUCUUUCUUCCAUUUUUUGUUUGUUUUCUCCGAAAUCCUGAUAUGGCCAUUGGACUUCCUGGUCUGAUAUUUUAUUUUUCUCUCCUACUUUUGUUUUUCUGUCCUUGUCUGUUUUCUGUGUUUUGGGAAGAUUUCCUCACCUUUUAUUUUUUAACCCUUCUUUUGACUUUUAAUUAUCGUUAUGUUUUUAAAUUUUCUGAAUUUUUAAAAAAGCACUCUUGUAUAUAUAUAAUAUCUUCUUAUUUCUCUGAAGAUAAUAUUUUUUAUUUUUAUUUUUUCCCCUCCUUUGAGAUUUCUGUUUCCUCCAAGUCUGUUUAUUUUGUUCUUUAUAUUUCUAGUUAGAGGUUUUGUCAGAAAUCAGUAUUUAUUUUCCGUCCACAAUUAAGUUUAGGGAAACUAAAACCUGAUUUUAAGCUUUAACACUUAGGUGGCCCCUGUGUUUUUCAUUGUCUCAUAAUCUGGAUGGGCCAUUUGUUGGGAAACUUGGUGUCAGUAUCAUUAGGUUUUUCCUCUGAGUUUAGUCAAAUUUCCCAGAAGAAAAAUUUUUUCAUCUCAUACUUGGUGAGUCAAAAGGAGUUCAAAAAGAGAAGAAGCCUGCAUGAGAGAGAGCGUUAAUAGUUAACAUUUAGUUUAUAUGGAGUUAUUAAAUGCCCUUGUGAUCUGCCACUUGGUAUCCACUCUCUUAGAAGUCCUUGCUAUUCACCAGUCUAGAGAAUAGACCACCUUGUUUAACUAUCCAGAGGCUAAACCUCUAGACUUUGAGGUCCAAGAGAGGAUUUACUAACAAUAAAUUACUAGAGUUGGAGUAACAAUAAAUUACUAGAGUGGAGUUGGGGGGAUGAGUUAGCCAUCUAAUUGCUUUGCAUAGAGAUUUUACUCAGUUAUUUUUAUUUUAGCAUUUGUCUGAACCCCUAGAUCCAGAGGUACCUAGUCCUGUCAGUUCUUGAGCCUCUUCAGGAAUCUGUGCAUAUUGUAAACUAUUGCCUAAGAUUCAGCUUACUAGUUAGGAACUCUCAAAAAGUUUUGUUGUGUUUUGUCUACUUUCCUGGUGUCUCUGGGUUUGUCUUUAUAUGAAGUUAAUAUUUCAAUGGAAUUUCGGUAGAAAGUGAAAUUAAGAUGCAUGUGUUCAAUUCACCAGCUGAACCUGCAACAUCCACUGUCUUUGUAUUAUUUGUAUCAUCUUCAAAACCAUCUUUUUAAAUGACUGUAAUAGUCAAGUUUCCUUCUUCAGUUAGCUAAAACCAUAGGUUAAAAUGCAGGUUGUUCUAAUUAUUUUUUCACAUUGCUUUUCCUUCAUUCAAUUAUUUAUUUCCUAAGGUAGAUUCUUGGAACAGUAAGUACUAGGCUAAAUGGGUAAGAACAUCUUAGGGCUCUUGAAAAAUAUUGCCAGAUUUUGCUUUCUCAAAGCGUUGAACCAUUUUGCAGUGCCUCUCCAACUCUGCUUUAAGUAAAAUAUUUAAUCUUUCUUACACUUACCUGGUUUUAAGCACAGAACUAUUUUCAAUAGUUCUCCUGUGCUUAAGAUUAAGUAUAUGUUGUGGUUUUGCUUUGGUCUAUGACCUCUUUAGUCUGUUCUCAGGGAAUAAGAUUUAUUGACCCUUCUCAUGUCUUGAUCAUCUACAAUUGAUUUUGACAUAGGAAAGGAGAAAAGGCAUGGCUAACAUUUACUUUGAGUUUUAACGCCAUUUUCCUCGUGCUACUUUUAUCUAGUCUAGGAGUUUGAGGGUUUUUUUUUUUAAGCUUCUUCUGACCCUCUUGAAUUUAUGUUUAGUCAUGGGUAGGUUUGCGUUUCCUCUUAAGUAUGCUUUUUUUU